AUGUGUUGAUUAUGACAUUGAGAAAGAUUUGGAUGUCGGUUUUCAAGCAAUUUAUAGUGUUGUGUGUUGUUUGCCGGAAUACCACAUUGGCGAUCCUGCCAUACAAGAUAAGAGAAUAAAUUUAAUCGAUUUCUCAGACUGGUGAAGGAUAAAAAAAGAGAAAUAUAGAUCAUAUUUUUGUUUCUGGUUUAGACAGAGAAACCGAUGAAACCAAAGGAAUACACAUCGAGGUGGAGUAGUAGGCAAUGUAUGUCAGUAUUAGUAAGAAAAAUAUGAUGUCAUUACAAAAGUCCUAUGUGAUUUCUAUAUGGUAACCACUGCAUGCUGCCACAUUGUACUCGUAAUCAGCCGGAAUUCCAGUAAGGUGUAUGAUUCUAAUGGAUAAAUCAUUUUCUGCAGGUAGCAUUUUAGGAAGUUGAAUGUAGACACAAAUAUUGUCGUCACGAGGUGAAGGACAUUGGGAUGAAACCGACGAGAAGGGUUGCCAGAAAGGUGAUUUCCCUAUGGUAAAAACAGUUGAGUCGGGUUGAGCCCAAGGCCAACUUGUACUUAAAGUUUUGAGUCGAGUAUAGCUCAAGGCCAAAACAGUUGAGUCGGGUUAAGCCCGAGGCCAACUUAUAAAUACAAAGUUUCACGCUGAAUAUAAAUCAUGGUCAAAACAGUUGAGUCGGGUUAAGCCCAAGGCCAACUUCCCAGCAAACAUUAAAUCUUAUAAUUUUGUACGUGCCAAGUCUUACGAGAAAUCCGAAUAAAUCAUAAUCGCAUAUAAUAUCAAUCAAAGUAUGUACCGUGUAUAUUUGAAAUCGCAUAAAAUGUAAAAACUCGAUUUUAUAUACCAUUAUCAAAUUA